GAUGCUGGCUAGAAAUUUCUGCUGACUGUGAGGAAAAGAGUUUUCCUAGGCAGCUGAGUAAGAGUCAGUCAGCCAGAGGAGCCACACCAGCUGCUCCAUACCACUAUGUCAAUGCAAAGCAAACCAGAAAAACUGGCUAAGCUGCUAAAGGAAAGUGUUUCCAUGGGCUGGGGAAUCCUCUGGUGGGGCAGUCAGUGCAGGACAAUUCCCUCUGCCAGCACGUGGACUGGAUUACAGAUGGGUAGAGUGUCUGUAAUCACUGGACUGGGAGUGUGUGCUUUUCAAGUUAGAGUUGGCUGUAUGGUGUCUGUCCAGGGAAGAAUAUCACCAGAUAUUUGCAUUACAUCUAUAAUAAGAGCUCUGAGAUGACUUUCAGACUACAACAACUUUGAAAUUCUCACAUGCAGGCUGUAAAUGAGUGGCCCUUCCUGACAGCAGCACAUUCCCAGUGUGUGAACUCAUAAGUAACUGGAAAGGAAACCAUCUGACAGCUUGGAACUUUCCCUCCUUUUAUCACAAUGACUCAGCUUUCGCCAUCCCUGUGCCCAUGUCUGUUCUUCUCCUUUGGUUUCCAUAUUGCCUUUACCAGCUGAACAUCUCAGUGUCUUUAUGCUGACAGAAAGCUGCCUGCUCAGCCGUUUCCUAAGGGUUUAAGGUCCAUGGUCCUGUAGUUAUCACUCUGCUGGGAUUCCCUUGGCUGGACCAGGAUGUGUGUGGUGUGCUGCUAAGGCAAGAAGCUGCCAUCAAAUGGGAGAAGACAUCCCUAGAACAUGAUAUUAAACCCUAGGACUGGCACUGGACCUCCUCUGAAGCCACUGGCCAAACUGAAUCAAUCUGACACAUUCAAGAGCUGCUCCUGUCCCGCUGCUCAGCCCUCAUGGAGGUGCAUGGAGGCAGGAAUGAAAUGCAUGGAUGAAGAUAUGGUGGGCAUCUGCCAUGUAAUGUCAGCAUUUAAGCGCAUGUUCUUCCUGUGUGGAAGAUGUGUGUACAUCACUCCAGGACAGGAAGGUGGUUGUUCUGGAACCCUGUAAUGUGCAAUGAGCAUCUGUCAAUGCUCUUUUAGAUUGUCCCUCCAGAAUGGCCUCAGGCACCAUCACCUCUUGGCCUGCCAUUGCCUGUGGGACAGGUGUGGAUGUGGGACAGACAAACGCUGCCAGGAGGGACAGAAGGAUGAAAAUAAAUCUCUGUCUCCUGGAAUAUGAAAGGAUUACCUGUCAGCAGGUUUAAUAGCUGGGUCUACUGGAAAAUUUCUGCAAAGUCAAGCUCAUUUGUUGUUUGGGAGAAAAUUGGCUUUUUCUGCCUCCUCUGUAUUACUGGUGUGAAAGUGGAAAAAUCGGCUGAAACCAGUAAGUGUGUUUUCUGCCUUGAUAAGCAGACUAGACAAGUGUCUGAUGGAAGGUCAGCAGAAAGAUUAAUUCUUGACUGUUAUUUUGAUUGUUGGGAGAAGAGAUAACUGUGCUACCCAGGAAAGACAAGGCAUGAUUUCUCUUGUUUUGGGUUUGGGUGGUUUGGGCAGGAUCUGGGCUGCCACAUAGGGCUGGAUCCUGGG